rnacentral:rRNA from 1 species
GACGAGGGACCUAGCGUUGUUCGGAAUUAUUGGGCGUAAAGCGGGUGUAGGCGGACUUAUAAGUCAGGUGUGAAAUCCCAGGCUCAACCCUGGAAGUGCACUUGAUACUGCAAGUCUUGAAUGUGGUAGAGGCUAUUAGAAUUCCUGGUGGUAAGUGGUGAAAUACGUAGAUAAUCAGGAGGAAUACGGAGGCGAAGGCGGAUAGCCUGGGCCAACAUUGACGCUGAGACCGAAAGCGUGGGGAGCAAACAGG